GGGUUGUGAGGUUAAGCGACUAAGCGUACACGGUGGAUGCCCUGGCAGUCAGAGGCGAUGAAGGACGUGCUAAUCUGCGAAAAGCGUCGGUAAGGUGAUAUGAACCGUUAUAACCGGCGAUGUCCGAAUGGGGAAACCCAGUGCAAUUCGUUGCACUAUCGUUAACUGAAUACAUAGGUUAACGAGGCGAACCGGGGGAACUGAAACAUCUAAGUACCCCGAGGAAAAGAAAUCAACCGAGAUUCCCCCAGUAGCGGCGAGCGAACGGGGAGCAGCCCAGAGUCUGAAUCAGCUUGUGUGUUAGUGGAACGGUCUGGAAAGUCCGACGGUACAGGGUGAUAGUCCCGUACACCAAAAUGCACAGGCUGUGAACUCGAAGAGUAGGGCGGGACACGUGGUAUCC
rnacentral:rRNA from 1 species